CAAAUGUUUCCUGUGCAAGUUUGAAUCUCUCUCAGUCAUGGGGGUGAUUGACUGACAGACUACGUUACUCUCUACCAAACGGUUAUUCACUUAUAAAACCUUUUAAAGUUUAGCGCAAAUGUUUCCUGUGCAAGUUUGAAUCUCUCUCAGUCAUGGAGGUGAUUGACUGACAGACUACGUUACUCUCUACCAAACGGUUAUUCACUUAUAAAACCUUUUAAAGUUUAGCGCAAAUGUUUCCUGUGCAAGUUUGAAUCUCUCUCAGUCAUGGGGGUGAUUGACUGACAGACUACGUUACUCUCUACCAAACGGUUAUUCACUUAUAAAACCUUUUAAAGUUUAGCGCAAAUGUUUCCUGUGCAAGUUUGAAUCUCUCUCAGUCAUGGGGGAGAUUGACUGACAGACUACGUUACUCUCUACCAAACGGUAAAGUUUAGCGCAAAUGUUUCCUGUGCAAGUUUGAAUCUCUCUCAGUCAUGGGGGUGAUUGACUGACAGACUACGUUACUCUCUACCAAACGGUUAUUCACUUAUAAAACCUUUUAAAGUUUAGCACAAACGUUUCCUGCGCAAGUUUGAAUCUCUCUCAGUCAGUCAGGGGGGAGAUUGACUGACUGACUGACUGACUACUCGCCACCAAACAGUCAUUUACCCAGAAACCUUUUAAAGGAAACGUAACCACAUUUAUUAAUGUAUUUAUUGUGUUAUUUGAGUACCCCACAGUUCUGUAAGUGGAAAAUUAAUUCAUAUUUAUGUGUUUUCUCACAGUUUAGCACAAACGUUUCCUGCGCAUGUUUGGAUCUUUACCAUUCAGGAGACUGGCUGACUGUUCUCAACCAACCAUCAUUCACACGCAAAAACUUUAAAGAUAAGUAUGAAAGUGCCCAGAGCAGUUUUCGAUCUUUAAAUUACCAUUAAGGAGGCUGACUGACUAUCAUCUACCACCCGUCAUUAACACAACAAAAACUAAAGAAAUGUUACUCCAUAUGGACCUAUACAUUUACUCAUUAUGCUGUGAGUACACCACAGUUUUAUCAGUGAAAAAAAUUAUAUUUGUGUGUUUUCUCACUGCUUGGCAAGGACAGAUGUGGCCCUGUUAAAAAUGUUUAAAUGUUGUUUGGUUUAAGGAACAGCGCACUGAAUUUGUUAUAAAAUAUUCCUGUUUGGACAGUCUGUUAAAGUCAUAAAGGAAUGGUUGAUAUAUUUCAUAAGGAAAGUGUAAAUGUAAUAUUAGUUUUUAAUGUUGUGAAUUUGGACUGAACAACACACUUCUGUUUUAUAUCUAAACCUUUUGUAAAAUAAAUGAUUAUUCAAUAAACUCACUGUGUAUUUUA